UCGUACUCAUAAGUUGUUUUCGAUGAUGAGCCUUUCAUAUAUAUAUAUAUAUAUAUAUAUAUAUAUAUAGUAGGGCUACUACUCUUAUGAGUAUAGAGCCCUUUGUACUCAUAAGUUAUUUUCGAUGAUGAGCCUUUCAUAUCGACAAUCCACAUCGUUAAAUGUGAUCUAGAGUAUUUGAAACUUCUAGAAAAUAGAUUUCGUAAUUUUUUGAAAUCAUUAUAAAGUCCAUCAAGCGUGUAUAAAAUGAACGGUCAAAAUCGAACGAUGUCCUAAAAAUGGAAGAUCUGAUCUUUCAAUUUAAGAUCGGAGUUAUCGAUCUUUAUCUAGCUAGUAAAUAGAAUUUUUUAUAAAAAAUUCAACAUAUUCCGAUUCUUUUACACCGUUAAACUAGCAAGUAUUCCAUACCGGCCGUUAAAAAUUUUUAAUUUUGUGAGCUUUUGAUCGUAAGAUAAAUAAUGUCGAAAAAUUAUAAAAUUUGAUUUCUAGACGUUUUAAAUGCUCUAGAUAACGUUUAACGGUGUGGAUCGUCGAUUUGGAAGCUUUAUCAUCGAAAACAACUUAAGAGUACGGGAGCGAUCGUACUCAUAAGAGUAUAGUAGUCGGACUCUCUCUCUAUGUAUAUAUAUAGAGAGAGAGAGAAAGAGAGAGAGAGAGAGCGCGCUAGGCUGGUAUACUAUUGGUAGUACGAAGGCCUUCGUGCUACCAAGUUGUUUUCAAUUAUGCGACUUCCAAAUUGACGAUCGGCUCCGUUAGACUUAAUGUAUACUAUUAAAAAUAUUUAGAAACUAAAUUUCAUAAUUUUUCGACAUCAUUUGGCUAGUGAUCAGAAAGUCUCAAAAUUGACAAUUUUAAUGGUAGAUGUGAUGCAUUUGUAAAUUUAACGGUAUAAAACAAUUCAAAUCUGAUGAAAUUUUUAUAGAAAAUUCUUUUCAUUAUUUAAAGUAAGAUCAGUACCUCUGAUCUUAAAUUCAAGUCUUUUAUCAUUAUUUUUUAUGAGAUUUUUAUUUUCAGCCGUUUAUUUUUAGACUACUUGUUUGAUCGGUAAAUAAUGCUGAAAAAUUAUAAAAUUUAGUUUUCAAAUACUUUUAAUAGUGUAAAUCAAGUCUAACAGAGUCGAUCAUCGAUUUGGAAGCCACAUCAUUAAAAACAACUUGGUCUAUCGAUAGUAUACCAGUCCCUCUCUCUCUCUCUCUCUCUCUAUAUAUAUAUAUAUAUGUAAAAU
rnacentral:lncRNA from 1 species